AGUGAACGCUGGCGGCGUGCCUAAUACAUGCAAGUCGAACGAGUGGGCACGGGUGAGUAACACGUGGGUAACCUCCCAUCAGAGGGGAUAACACUUGGAAACAGGUGCUAAACCGAUACUGAUGGAUGGACCCGCGGGGCAUUAGCUAGUUGGUGAGGUAACGGCGCACCAAGGCCACGAUGCAUAGCCGACCUGUGAGGGUUGUCGGCCACACUGGGACUGAGACACGGCCAAGACUCCUACGGGAGGAAGCAGUAGGGAAUCUUCGGCAAUGUACGAAAUUCGGACCGAGCAACGCCGCUUGAGUGAAGAAGGUUUUCGGAUCGUAAAACUCUGUUGUUAGAGAAGCGGUAUCUAACCAGAAAGCCACGGCUAACUACGUGCCAGCAGCCGCGGUAAUAC
rnacentral:rRNA from 1 species